GCAGAGCCUUAGUAGUAUAACUAUUACACUGGUCUUG
rnacentral:tRNA from 1 species